AUUGAACGCUGGCGGCAGGCCUAACACAUGCAAGUCGAGCGGAUGAAGGGAGCUUGCUCCUGGAUUCAGCGGCGGACGGGUGAGUAAUGCCUAGGAAUCUGCCUGGUAGUGGGGGAUAACGUCCGGAAACGGGCGCUAAUACCGCAUACGUCCUGAGGGAGAAAGUGGGGGAUCUUCGGACCUCACGCUAUCAGAUGAGCCUAGGUCGGAUUAGCUAGUUGGUGGGGUAAAGGCCUACCAAGGCGACGAUCCGUAACUGGUCUGAGAGGAUGAUCAGUCACACUGGAACUGAGACACGGUCCAGACUCCUACGGGAGGCAGCAGUGGGGAAUAUUGGACAAAGGGCGAAAGCCUGAUCCAGCCAUGCCGCGUGUGUGAAGAAGGUCUUCGGAUUGUAAAGCACUUUAAGUUGGGAUGAAGGGCAGUAAGUUAAUACCUUGCUGUUUUGACGUUACCAACAGAAUAAGCACCGGCUAACUUCGUG
rnacentral:rRNA from 1 species